rnacentral:tRNA from 1 species
GCCUUCGUGGUGUAGUGGUUCUGCACGCUGGACCUAUAUUUUAGAGGUCCGUGGUUCGAUUCCCGGCGAAGGCG